GACGAACGCUGGCGGCGUGCCUAAUACAUGCCAGUUGAGCGAUGAAGCUUGGUGCUUGCACCAAUUUGAAGAGCAGCGAACGGGUGAGUAACGCGUGGGGAAUCUGCCUUUGAGCGGGGGACAACAUUUGGAAACGAAUGCUAAUACCGCAUAACAACUUUAAACAUAAGUUUUAAGUUUGAAAGAUGCAAUUGCAUCACUCAAAGAUGAUCCCGCGUUGUAUUAGCUAGUUGGUGAGGUAAAGGCUCACCAAGGCGAUGAUACAUAGCCGACCUGAGAGGGUGAUCGGCCACAUUGGGACUGAGACACGGCCCAAACGCCUACGGGAGGCAGCAGUAGGGAAUCGUCGGCAAUGGACGAAAGUCUGACCGAGCAACGCCGCGGGAGUGAAGAAGGGUGUCGGAUCGUAAAACUCGGUUGGUAGAGAAGAACGUUGGUGAGAGUGGAAAGCUCAUCAAGUGACGGUAACUACCCAGAAAGGGACGGCUAACUACGUG
rnacentral:rRNA from 1 species